UAAGGAAUAUUGGUCAAUGGACGCAAGUCUGAACCAGCCAUGCCGCGUGGAGGAUUAAGGCCCUCUGGGUUGUAAACUCCUUUUAUCUGGGAAGAAAUGUACUUUUUCUUGAGUACUUGACGGUACCAGAGGAAUAAGCACCGGCUAACUCCGUGCCAGCAGCCGCGGUAAUACGGAGGGUGCAAGCGUUAUCCGGAUUCACUGGGUUUAAAGGGUGCGUAGGUGGGCAGGUAAGUCAGUGGUGAAAUCUCCGGGCUUAACCCGGAAACUGCCGUUGAUACUAUUUGUCUUGAAUAUUGUGGAGGUAAGCGGAAUAUGUCAUGUAGCGGUGAAAUGCUUAGAUAUGACAUAGAACACCAAUUGCGAAGGCAGCUUACUACAUAUAAAUUGACGCUGAGGCACGAAAGCGUAGGGAUCAAACA
rnacentral:rRNA from 1 species